UACGUAGGGGGCAAGCGUUGUCCGGAUUUAUUGGGCGUAAAGAGCGUGUAGGCGGUUUGGUAGGUCCGUUGUGAAAACUCGAGGCUCAACCUCGGGACGCCGAUGGAAACCAUCAGACUAGAGUCCGGAAGAGGAGAGUGGAAUUCCUGGUGUAGCGGUGAAAUGCGCAGAUAUCAGGAGGAACACCGGUGGCGAAGGCGGGUCUCUGGGCCGUUACUGACGCUGAGGAGCGAAAGCGUGGGGAGCGAACAGG
rnacentral:rRNA from 1 species